UACGUAGGGGGCGAGCGUUGUUCGGAAUUACUGGGCGUAAAGGGCGCGUAGGCGGCGACCCAAGUCAGAUGUGAAAGUCCUGGGCUUAACCUGGGGACUGCAUUUGAUACUGGGUUGCUUGAAUUCGGGAGAGGAUAGCGGAAUUCCCAGUGUAGAGGUGAAAUUCGUAGAUAUUGGGAAGAACACCGGUGGCGAAGGCGGCUAUCUGGACCGACAUUGACGCUGAGGCGCGAAAGCGUGGGGAGCAAACAGG
rnacentral:rRNA from 1 species